rnacentral:rRNA from 1 species
UACGUAGGGGGCAAGCGUUGUCCGGAUUUACUGGGCGUAAAGAGCGCGCAGGCGGUCGGAUAAGUCGAAUGUGAAAGCCCCCGGCUCAACUGGGGAGGGUCAUUCGAUACUGUUCGACUCGAAGGCAGGAGAGGGAAGUGGAAUUCCCGGUGUAGUGGUGAAAUGCGUAGAUAUCUGGAGGAACACCGGUGGCGAAGGCGGCAUCCUGGACCGGUAUUGACGCUGAGGCGCGAAAGCUAGGGGAGCAAACAGG